rnacentral:tRNA from 1 species
GCCCCCAUAGCUCAGUUGUAUAGAGCAGCUGCCUUCUAAGCAGCGGGUCGAAGGUUAGAGUCCUUCUGGGGGCGCCA